AGGAUGUAUUUGGACAAUUUAACAUGAUAGAGACCCACUUUAGAAUCCCAGGUGCCUCAAACAAGCAGACUACUGAGGAAGUUCAGUCACAGAACGCUCUGCUUUUUCUAACCGUUUACCACACCAUACCUGAAUACGUUCCUGAAGUGGUCAAGUGGUCCGGAGAAGGCGCCACGCUGGGAAAAGAUGUACAGUUGCUACACAUUUCCGCAUUUUAUCUUCUUGGACAGUGAUGGCCAAAACCUAGGGCUUGAACGACUAUGUUCGGGUGAGAGCAGAAGACCACGAGCCAAAACUGUUGCUGAAGCUUCUUGUGUUUGACAGAUUAGCAAUGGAAGGCUGUUAGCCAUUUGCAGAAAUGUGGCAUUAGCAUGUCAUCACUUGCUAAUCUUUCUACUGUGCAUGCGAGGCCUGGUACAGGAGCUGGUUUUAGCCAGAGACUUGAGUCCUGCUUCAGAGUUAGUUAAAACUCUCCACUCUAUCUGUCCCACAGCCACAGAGUCAAGAAGACCAUCUUUGUCUGGGCAGCUGCCCUUUCCAUUGGACUUACGAAGAUGGGCUCUUUGACUCUCUGCCAAAGUCUUCAACCACCCAUUGCCAAAGUCUUCAACCACCCAUCUUGUCACCUAUCCAAUGCUCUCCAUCAUCUGCAUGACAUUCCCAAUCUACCCAAACCCUCCCAUCUUCUGUCAAUUCAUGCUUCCAUCAUCUGCCUUGUGCUCCCUGUAAAAUGCCGGAACCUUAAUCAUAAGUCUGAGCUCACUACAAUGCCACUUUAGAUAUUCAGUUAAUUCCCUGUCAAUUCAACUGUGCUAUUCUUCUGUUCAGUCACUUGCUUGUGCUUGCUACAAUGAUGGAGGAGGAGGGCGGUUUUACCACAAACAAUGCAACAUGCCUUAGGCUUUGUGCAGGUUACAGGUUGGAUUUCCUAGUUCUAUGAGGAAACUAGCAACUCACCCUCUCCCUGUUACAAUAGGCACAAAGGCAAGAGCAAACACACGUCCUUCAAAUGGCAUACUUCUAUGUGUGCAUUAUCUGUGUGUGUGUGUGUGUGUGUGUGUGUGUGUGUGUGUGUGUGUGUGUGUGUGUGUGUGUGCGUGUGUGUGCGUGCAUGCGCAUGUGUAAAAAUGCAAAUUUCCUCGAAGAUAUCGAAUAUCAUAAUGCUGUUAUGCCUUAUGUGGCAAUAGUUCAAUGAAGUACGUGCAAUAGGUUCACAACCCAUUGUCCUACAGGUUCAAAAUAAUGCUAAGUAUAAAUUCUGCAAUCAGUUCUCAUUUUCAAAUUGCAAAUAUAAGCAAGUACGUAUUUCUUUUUUCUAAAGAGUUCAAGAACAAAUCUACAUUAACUAAGAGUAACUGAAACCCAAGUUUACAUGUCAGAGACAAACGUACUACAAUCUGCUGGUAACACAAACAAUGUUAAAAUUACCCCCCAAAAGUUUUUUCUUUAUCAUUAUCUAGGCAUAAAUCUCGCACAAUUUACUGCUAUAUAACUGACUUCUUGUGAAUUAGAAGCUAAAAUAAAUAAAAAAAUUUUUUUGCAUUUUAUA